rnacentral:lncRNA from 1 species
GUAAAGACAGGAGUGAUCAAGGAAGGCUUCAUGGAAGAGAAGGCAUAUGGGAGGAGGAUGGAUUAGAAGGCUGCCCGAGAUCACCUCCAUUCCUGGCACUCAGAGGAGCUGCGUUUCCUCUAAAGCAGAGAAAUGAGGCCAAGGCAGAAUGAAGAGGAGCCACAGGACUCCAGAGAGGUUCACGUCACCACCCCACAGGGGACAAACGCAUACCUUGUUUUCUGAGUUGACAGACAUCCGGUUACUUCAUCUUGGAAGUUACAUUCAUCUGCCCUUUGGAACAUCCUGCCCAAUGACCGAUUUUUCAAAAUAGCUUCUUUUCCCUGAUUAUAUUUGUAAUACCUACUCACUGCAAAACAUUUGAGAAAGCUCAAAAACAGAAAUAAGGAAAUGCAAUCACAUAGACACACACACACAGACCCAC